rnacentral:rRNA from 1 species
UACGGGAGGCAGCAGUGGGGAAUAUUGCACAAUGGGCGCAAGCCUGAUGCAGCCAUGCCGCGUGUAUGAAGAAGGCCUUCGGGUUGUAAAGUACUUUCAGUCGUGAGGAAGGUGUUAAGGUUAAUAACCUUAGCAAUUGACGUUAGCGACAGAAGAAGCACCGGCUAACUCCGUGCCAGCAGCCGCGGUAAUACGGAGGGUGCGAGCGUUAAUCGGAAUUACUGGGCGUAAAGGGCACGCAGGCGGUUAAUUAAGUUGGAUGUGAAAUCCCCGGGCUUAACCUGGGAAUGGCAUUCAAGACUGGUUAGCUAGAGUCUUGUAGAGGGGGUAGAAUUCCAUGUGUAGCGGUGAAAUGCGUAGAGAUGUGGAGGAAUACCGGUGGCGAAGGCGGCCCCUGGACAAGACUGACGCUCAUGUGCGAAAGCGUGGGGAGCAAC